rnacentral:RNase_P_RNA from 1 species
GUCAGACAGGUAAUCGCUGCCUUAUGGUUGUGCUUCGGCAGACGCAUAGGGGGGAGGAAAGUCCGGGCUCCGCAGGGCAGGGUGCCAGAUAACAUCUGGGAGAUGCGAAUCUACGAACAGUGCCACAGAAAAUAUACCGCCGUUUAUCGGUAAGGGUGAAAAGGUGCGGUAAGAGCGCACCGCAUGUCUGGUAACAGUUCAUGGCAGGGAAAACUCCACCCGGAGCAAGAUCGAAUAGGCUCCUUAUGACAUUGCCCGUGUCAGGAGCGGGUUGAUCGCUAAAGUCAGGAGGCGACUUCUUGACGUAGAGGAAUGAUUACCGCUGUUUUUACAGUACAGAACCCGGCUUAUGGCUGAC